GACGAACGCUGGCGGCGUGCUUAACACAUGCAAGUCGAACGGAAAGGCCCUGCUUUUGUGGGGUGCUCGAGUGGCGAACGGGUGAGUAACACGUGAGUAACCUGCCCUUGACUUUGGGAUAACUUCAGGAAACUGGGGCUAAUACCGACUAGGAGCUCCUUCUGCAUGGUGGGGGUUGGAAAUUUUCGGCGGUUGGGGCUGGACUCGCGGCUUAUCAGCUUGUUGGUGGGGUAGUGGCUUACCAAGGCUUUGACGGGUAGCCGGCCUGAGAGGGUGACCGGCCACAUUGGGACUGAGAUACGGCCCAGACUCCUACGGGAGGCAGCAGUGGGGAAUAUUGCACAAUGGGCGGAAGCCUGAUGCAGCAACGCCGCGUGCGGGAUGACGGCCUUCGGGUUGUAAACCGCUUUCGCCUGUGACGAAGCGUGAGUGACGGUAAUGGGUAAAGAAGCACCGGCUAACUACGUG
rnacentral:rRNA from 1 species